UAUGGGGGCAAAUUGGGUCCAAAGUAAUCAUUUGUCAGCCCAUUAGAUGGUAUUAGUUACAUAAUUAGUAUCUUUUACCCUAUUCUUUCGCUGCAGUCAUUAUUUAAUAAUAUUCAUCUACUUAUUAGUUGCAUUUGAACCGAAAAAAGCAGUAAAGGUGUCAUCUACUUCUGCAAAACAGCUGCUCAGUUAUGGUCUUCCCAAUGACUACACUGUUUGCAGAUAUCAAUCUUUCUUUCCUCUUCACAUUGCUGCCCCCAAGACUUCACUUUUCUGCUAGAAACUCGGCAAAUACAAACACACACAAGCUUUAUUCUCUCUCAUCAAAACAACUGAUCUCUCUCUUCUCAUUCCUCAUUCUUCAACUCAACCUUCAGAUCUAUUCUUCUUCUACUUUUGAUUCUGAAACACCUUACUUUUUUUUUAAUUGGACAUUAUGUGUUUGAUUUUAACGAAUCAUACUUUUUUUUGUUAGGUUAUUCAAGUGUCAUCUUUUGCUUUCUAGCUGAGUUCUUCGUCAACCGAAGAUAUGAAGGUUUCUAGGAAUCUUAAUGAAGAUAAGUUUAUGGGUUUCAAUGUUUCGUAGAAAAAUGUGAAAAAAGGUUCAAUCAUUUGGUCCUGGUUUGAACUCAAAUUUGUAUGUGUAUAAGCACUAUGUGAUUUUUGAGGUUCAGAGUACAGAAAUUUCAGGAGUCUUGAUGGAUAACUUACAUGUUUUUCGAAAUGUGCGGGUAGUUAAGAAACUGGUCCUGCUGGCAAGAGACAUUACAUGUUAUGUGCCUUAACAAUAAUUAUCCUUAUAGCUCUUUGGUUCAUCUUCAUAGGCACAAUCACCCUCAAAAGGUCCACAAAAAACCUUGAUCAAUUCUCAAAUGGAUUGGAUUCUAUGAUUCUUGAAGAUCUAGAUGUGUUGUGAAGGAGAAAGAAAAGGUUGUGAGACAUAUGUGGGAUGUGUACAAUCGCAGUCAUAGCAACUCCGUUGGAUUACCUCAGUUUUGGUUGGAAGCUUUUGAAGCAGCUUAUGAGACUUGGUCAAUGAUGCUCCUGCUGUUCGAGAGACUGUAGUUUCAGAAAUUGCCAAGAUGUCACUAGCAUAUGUAGUUUCAUAUGCUGUUAAUUACUGCAGCAGCUACUUCUAAUGUACAAGCAAAGGUUCAAAAUUCAGGGCUUUCUUGAAAUGUGAUGAUUGUCAUGGAAGUGGUAUGGAGGUUUCUAUUAGGCAGUUUGGUCCAUCAAUGAUUCAACAAAUGCAACAUCCCUUCAAUGAAUGUAAGGGUGUUGGUGAGAUUAUCACUGACUGAGUUUUCAUGUUGUAAUUUGGUUUUGCAAUUACUUAACUGCAAAUACUAUGAUAUUAUGAAUAUCAUCUGU